CCUGGUUGAUCCUGCCAGUAGUCAUAUGCUUGUCUCAAAGAUUAAGCCAUGCAUGUGUAAGUACAGGCCGACUUAAGGCGAAACCGCGGACGGCUCAUUAAAUCAGAUAUAACUCAUUGGAUCUCUGCUGAACCGCAUUACUUGGAUAACUGUGGUAAUUCUAGAGCUAAUACAUGCCUUUGUAGUCUCCGACCGCGAGGGAGGAGCGCUUUUAUUAGACCAAAACCCUCGGCAGCCGGUUCCCGCAAGGGGCCGGCCGCACACAUCUUGGUGAAUCAGAAUAACUUUUGCCGAGCGCACGACCCCUCCCGUAACCCGGGUUGGGUCGGCGCCGCGUCCUGCAGGCGUCUGCCUUAUCAGCUCUCGAUUGUAGGUUAAACGCCUACAAUGGCUAUCACGGGUAACGGGGAAUCAGGGUUCGAUUCCGGAGAGGGAGCCUGAGAAACGGCUACCACAUCUAAGGAAGGCAGCAGGCGCGCAAAUUACCCACUCCCGGCACGGGGAGGUAGUGACGAAAAAUACUGUUGCGAGCCCCGAACGGGGCCUCGCAAUUGGAAUGAGUACACUUUAAAUCCUUGUACGAGGAUCGAGUGGAGGGCAAGUCUGGUGCCAGCCGCCGCGGUAAUUCCAGCUCCACUAGCGUAUAUUAAAGUUGUUGCGGUUGAAACGCUCGUAGUUUGACUUCUGCUCCGGACCGGCGGUCCGCCUUAGCGGCGGCUACUGCCGGGUUCCGAGCUGUGUCCCCGCCGGCGCACAUGGGGUUUUUAUGCCCUUAACCGGGUGUCCCCUUGUGGCCGGCACGUUUACUUUGAAAAAAUUAGAGUGCUCAGAGCAGGCUGGUUUUUGCUUACAGCCCGAAUGGUCGUGCAUGGAAUGAUGGAACAGGACCUCGGUUCUAUUUUGUCGGUUUUUCGGAACCCGAGGUAAUGAUUAAUAGAAGCAGACGGGGGCAUUCGUACUGCGACGCUAGAGGUGAAAUUCUUAGACCGUCGCAUGACGACCUACUGCGAAAGCAUCUGCCAAGGAUGUUUUCAUUGAUCAAGAACGAAAGUUAGAGGUUCGAAGGCGAUCAGAUACCGCCCUAGUUCUAACCUUAAACGAUGCUGACUAGCGAUCCGCCGCAGUUAUUCCCAUGACCCGGCGGGUAGCUUCCGGGAAACCAAAGUCUUUGAGUUCCGGGGGAAGUAUGGUUGCAAAGCUGAAACUUAAAGGAAUUGACGGAAGGGCACCACCAGGAGUGGAGCCUGCGGCUCAAUUUGACUCAACACGGGGAAACUCACCAGGCCAGGACACCGGAAGGAUUGACAGAAUGAAGGCUCUUUCUCGAUUCGGUGGGUGGUGGUGCAUGGCCGUUCUUAGUUGGUGGAGUGAUCUGUCUGGUUAAUUCCGAUAACGAACGAGACUCUAGCCUGCUAAAUAGUCGACGGAUCUCAACCCCGUUGCCCCCGUUGUCGUUCGCGGCGAUGCGGGGCGCGGGUUCCCCGAAACCCGGUCGUCGUGCGGGCCUCCACCGUCGGUCGGUUAGCGCCGCCGGCGGCGCGCCCCGCGGCGCCGGAAACUGGCGUCCGCUUCGCAGUCUUCUUCUUAGAGGGAUAAGCGGCAGCAAAAAAUAUACUAGCCGCACGAGAGUUUGAGCCAUAACAGGUCUGUGAUGCCCUUAGAUGUUCUGGCCGCACGCGCGCUACAAUGGAGAGUUCAGCGAGCUGUCCCUGCUCCGAGAGGAGCGGGUAACCUCGUGAAAGCUGUCCUUAAAGGGGAUUGGGGCUUGCAAAUGUUCCCCAUGAACGAGGAAUUCCCAGUAGGCGCAAUUCACCAGAUUGCGCCGAUUUAGUCCCUGCCCUUUGUACACACCGCCCGUCGCUACUACCGAUUGAAUGGUCUAGUGAGGGCACCGGACUGGCGCCCUUGGAGCCGCUACCGCCUCGGCGGGCAGCGCCCUCGGGUCGACGGAAAGGUGUCCAAGCUGGGUCAUUUAGAGGAAGUAAAAGUCGUAACAAGGUUUCCGUAGGUGAACCUGCGGAAG
rnacentral:rRNA from 1 species